rnacentral:rRNA from 1 species
CCUACGGGAGGCAGCAGUAGGGAAUCUUUCACAAUGGGCGAAAGCCUGAUGGAGCAACGCCGCGUGCAGGAUGGAGGCCUUCGGGUUGUACACUGCUUUUAUAAGCGAGAAAUAUGAUGGUAACUUAUGAAUAAGGAUCGGCUAACUACGUGCCAGCAGCCGCGGUCAUACGUAGGAUCCGAGCAUUAUCCGGAGUGACUGGGUGUAAAGAGUUGCGUAGGUGGCAUAAUAAGUAGCUAGGGAAAUCUGGUGGCUCAACCAUUCAGACUAUUAGCUAAACUGUUAAGCUUGAGACCGUUAGGGGUAACUGGAAGUUCUAGUGUAGGAGUGAAAUCCGUAGAUAUUAGAAGGAACACCAAUAGCGUAGGCAGGUUACUGGGACGGUUCUGACACUAAGGCACGAAAGCGUAGGGAGCAAACGGGAUUAGAUACCCUAGUAGUC